CCCCAAGGGAGAACCACUCCAUCAAUCACACCCACUUAACUCUCUCCGGGCUUGAGGCCGAGGAGCCCCUCCGCGCAGCGCCGCAGCCGCGCGGGACGCGUGAGGAAUAGGAAAUGAAGCAGGGCCUUGGGCAGAGAACUGGCAGGAGAGUGGGAAGCAGAAGAGGAGUAAGAUUUAGUGGGGCAAAUACUAUCGUUCAGUGGGGAGACAAUGGACAGAAGGGAUCUGGAAUGAAAGGAGACACAGGGGAGCUCCAUAAACCAGGAAGGCUGAACCACUCAAGCACCACAUGGUGGGGAAAACUCAGAAUUGGACUGGACCAUUUUGAAGAGUGGGCAUGAUCCAUGAUCCAGAUCAUACCAAGCAUCUUUAACCAUAAGGACACAGCCUGGACCAGAUCAUAAGAGGGGCAUGCUGUAGCAUCUAAGUCUACACUGGACACCCAACCCAUGAUCGCGCCUCUGCUUGGACCCUCCUGCUGAGACUCACUGGUGCCUGACAUCUGUCUGUACUGCUGCCCUGACAUCUGUACACAAGCCAGUUUGAGUUCUAGCCCCAGGGCAUGUAGACCCUCUUCCUUUAGCUCUGUGUCCCCUCCAACCUCAUCAAGACACCAGACAGUCAACCCCA